AGAGUUUGAUUAUGGCUCAGGAUGAACGCUGACAGAAUGCUUAACACAUGCAAGUCUACUUGAUCCUUCGGGUGAAGGUGGCGGACGGGUGAGUAACGCGUAAAGAACUUGCCUUACAGACUGGGACAACAUUUGGAAACGAAUGCUAAUACCGGAUAUUAUGAUUGGGUCGCAUGAUCUGGUUAUGAAAGCUAUAUGCGCUGUGAGAGAGCUUUGCGUCCCAUUAGUUAGUUGGUGAGGUAACGGCUCACCAAGACGAUGAUGGGUAGCCGGCCUGAGAGGGUGAACGGCCACAAGGGGACUGAGACACGGCCCUUACUCCUACGGGAGGCAGCAGUGGGGAAUAUUGGACAAUGGACCAAAAGUCUGAUCCAGCAAUUUCCUGUGUGCACGAUGAAGUUUUUCGGAAUGUAAAGUGCUUUCAGUUGGGAAGAAGUCAGUGACGGUACCAACAGAAGAAGCGACGGCUAAAUACGUGCCAGCAGCUGC
rnacentral:rRNA from 1 species